GAGAUUACGCCACUGCACCCCAACCUGGGCCACAGAGCCAGACUCUGUCUCAAAAAAAAAAAAAGAAACAGAAAGAGGUCAGGCGCAGUGGCUCACAACUGUAACCUCAAGCACUUUGGGAGGCCGAGAUGGGAGGAUCACUUGUGCCCAGGAAUUUGGGACCAGCGUGGCAACAUAAUAGAGGUUCUGACAGGAGAAUUUAUAUACAGGAUGUAUACCAUUGACAUGCACAGCCAGCUGGAAUUGACUGCUUCGUUGAUACCCCAGCCAGGCACAUCCCUGAUUCCCCUGGUGAUGGUAAGCAACCCCCACUCCCUGGGGUUCCAGGCCACCUUCUACGAGAACGGUUACACAUCAGAUGGGAACACCAAGUACAAACUGGAUAUUUUCCUAAAACAGCAGCAGCACUGGGGCAGGACCGACUCCAACUUCACUUCCAGUUUAAAGAGAGCCACCAUGUCUACCUUAACUGUGGACAUAGCAAACAAGGAAAUUUCAUGUGUGGAUAUCAAGCCACUGUCGACACUGAUUUCAGUUGGCUGCGACCUGGAUAAAAAGAUCGUCAUCCAGAACAAAGUUACCGCCUGUUCCAUGGGCAUCCUGGACCCCUUGGCCCUGCAAGACAAUUACAGCUUCAUCAUUGAGAAGGAAUUCUACCACCCCGGCUUCCAGGGGCAGCAGUCCUCCGAGGACCUGCACGUGUUUUACUCCUACCAGCAGCUGGGCUGUCCUCUCCUCGUCUACUAUGACACCCUAUGGAAGCCCGUCGUGGAGCUGUGGCGAAAAGACAGUUUCCAGGAGGUCAUCGAUGCCGAGUAUGUGUUACUGGAGGUGAACGGGCAGUUCUCAUACUCCUAUUCCCUGACGGCCCAGUCGGCCAUGUGCACCUCCCAGCCGCAGAACUGGACCACCAUGAUAAAGGAAUUCGGGGGGCCCUUCUUCUGGAACAGAGAGAACUAUGUGAGCUGCCACGACCCCAACAACAAUGCCCCUUUGAGGUGGCCAGACGUCCAGUAUCAGAUCUUGGGCGGCCAGACAGCAAACCAGAUCAUUUUCGGCCACAAUGGCUUUUAUGUCUUCUACAUUUCGAUCGUGGAUCCGUACUACAGCUACUGUCAACUGGAGACCAUCUUUAGCAUCUACGUGUAUGGAGCAUUCCCCGUGCAGCUGGUCUCUGCUGGAGUCGUCAUCCUACUGAUCAUCUCCAGCAUCCUGGGGUCCGUUUGGCUAGCCUACAAGACCCCCAAGCUGCUACGCACAGCACGCGGCCGCAGGAUCAAGAAGUGUGCGACACAGCUGUGUAGGAGAUGCAAGACGGUCUGCCAGUUCAGGGCCUCAGCCACAGCCAGGGCAGGCACAGAGCCCCCGGGACGCCACCGCACUCCUCACGGAGGCAGGUCUGACCACUGAGGCCGGUCCACAGGGUCCCAACCCCUCGUCUUCAAAUAAAGUAUAAUGUAACAUAGCA
rnacentral:sRNA from 1 species